CACACACAAAUGAAAAAGUUAAAUAACAACAGUAAAAUAUGAAAAGAAAACACAACUAUAGAUCCCAGCUGAAUUAGCAGUGAACUUUGAAUAAUUAAGCCUGACCAACUUGAUUAUCAAAUCAGCCCUGGGAAAUAUUAAGGAAUAUUAAAAAUCAAACAAUAUGAACUUUCAUGUACUUUGCCUUGGCAAAUAGGAAACUCUUAGUUGAAAAUUUGUUGGUUACAAACGCUAAGUUUACUUAUACAAAAUAACAAAAUGAAAAAAAAAUAUUAUGUGUAAUAGUUUUCGAGCGUUUGAGUAACUUUUUACCAAAAUAAUUGAUUUAAAUACAUAAAAUGUAUGUAUGUAAGCAAAUUCAAAAUUAAAAGUAUUCACAAUAUGUAUCAUACAAAAUUAUUACUAUUAUUAAUUAUUAUUAACCAUAAAUAAAUAAUGUUAAAUAAAUGAGAUAAAACGAGCCUAGAAAAUGGGCUUUUCAUUCAA